UAAAACAUAGAAUUAAUGUACCAGAUCCCAUUAGAAAUACACAAUUAAGCAUGCUCAGGAUAGAGUAGUACUGGGAUGGAUGACCACCCAAGAAGUCUUAGUGUUUUAC
rfam:Picea glauca, whole genome shotgun sequence.